UUUUUCUUGGACUGGCUACCACCCACGGGUCUUAGAUCUGGGCCUUUGGAGUAGCUGGGAUUAUAGGCCUGAUCCAUCAGCGUCUGGCCUUUUUGGAUGGCAGCUCACAGUUAGAAAUGUAUGUUACACUAUACAUUGCAAGUGUCCAGUAGAUAACAGGUAUGCCACACAGAUACACACACACACACACACACACACACACACACUACCAGAUCAAUAAAAGGGAACAUAGCUACCUUUGUACCAUCUAACGCAUUCUGGUGGUUUCUUUGCUAUCUUAUUUUAUUUCUUUAAAAAAAUAUAUUGGGUAUAAGCCACCAUGCAAAUGAACACUGUAGUUUGUAAACUCUGACAAGGAGCACUCUGAUGCUUGGGGUCGGAGUGUCUUGGCUUCUCUUUCUAUCUUCUACUCAUUUCAGACUUGGAUGGUUGGGAGCCAGGUUCAGUGACCUGCAACUACAGUCCUAGCUACUCAGGAAGUGGAAGCAAGAGAAUCACUGAGACCUAGGGGUCUGAAAGCAGCCUAGGCAACCUAAGACUCUACCUCAAAAACAACAACAACAACAACAACAAAGAAAACAAAACAACAACAAAACAAAGAAAACAAAAUAUGUGGUUAGAAACAAAAAGUGUGAUUGGUAGCUAAGUCAGGGAUAGUAGAAAUAUGACCAGCUUACUCCAAGAAUAGAAAAACAUGUUUUUUCUAUUUUUAUUAUCCAUAAUUCCUCACUGUUGUUCACAAAAAUGCCUGUAGGAGGAAAGUGAUGGAGGGCAAAUCUGAUCAAAGUGCAUUGUAUGCAUGGAUGGACAAAAUGAAAUCCCCUUACAAACUAAUUGAUGCUAAUUUUUAAAAAUGUGGAUAAGAAUAAUUCUCAAAAAGUCCUGGUAGAACAUUCAGUCCAUUUUUCAGUUGUGCAAACUGAGGCAUGGGUUGGACACAAUCUGCCCAUGGUUAUGGAGCAGGGACAAGGGGAGACAGAGCCAAUGCUGGGCUUCCAGGAUUGGCGGAGCCUCCUGUCUACUGGCACUGCUGGGAGAUAGAGCCGAAGCAUAUGCAGAUGGAAUGUAGGUAUUUAAUUAUUUCCCCAAAUAAAAUUGUGCCUUUCUACCUGCCCAGCUCCCUCCCUGGCUUCUGCAGGGGCAGAAGGACUUUUAUAUUUUUAUCUCUACUCUUCAAUAUGUAAAGCUGAGUGUAGCUUCUGGGGUCCUGGGCAGCUUUCGCUAACAAAAUCAAAUCCACAGGCUUUCCCCAGCAGCUAGAACUAGGGCUUGUAAUCUGUGUCUGCUUAAGGGAGUGACUUUCUGCUGAGAGGAGCAGCUGCAGGCUGUUUUAAUUGUGGACAAACCAUGCACCCUGAAUACUCCAGGCAGGAACUAGAAAACCCUAGAUUUGGGUGUGCGAAACAUGGGGAUUAGUGGCAGAGCAAUAAAAUUCCUUUCCCCCACCUCCUUAGGUCUGAGUGGCAGGCCUGAGCCCUCCUCCAGGGAAUUCCGAGAUGAGCAGAGCCCUAGAGAUUCACAGGCACAUUUUAAAAACAACCACAACUGUUUAGUUCUAAGGUACAGCUAAGGGUCCCCAGUCACAAAUCAUUAAUUUAGGUUACAUAAGAGCAGUACACAGUCGCUGUCCCUCUGGGCCUUCACUGCAGAGAAGAUAGUCGACAGAUUCUGGGUGACAGUGGGAGUGGAUAUGAGGGCUGUUCUGGCUGUUUGGAGUCCUGAUACAAUCAGGCAGGAGCCAGCAUUAGUCAGCCCCAUCCAUGGGAAGAGAGAUGUUACCCCACCAAUUACAAGAUGGAGAACAGCAUGAGAGAAAGUAUAAGAAAUGUCCUGGUUGUUAUCAGUUGUCUCCAUUAUCACAGAAACAAGGCUCAAGGCCUCCCACAACGGCAGGCCUACAGAAGUGCUUAGUACAUGCUAACUGCUUGAACAACUGAUCUUUUACCAGUGUUUUCUGCAGUGGUGGUGGCUGGUAGCUGAGGGAUGGAUGCUGAAGCUCAAAGAAGCCUGGCUAAGAGGAGUCUGUGUGCUGUACAGGGAUUUAAACGCAAGGUCUGGGUGCUGUACCUUAGCAUUCGGACGUGCUUGACCUGAGACCCCCUCUUCUGGCCUUGUCACAGCCCUUGUCUAGCUUCCUGGGAUUUGGAGAGAUCGGGAAGCUGAGCUUGAAGCGGGCAGUCCUAUAUCCGAAGAUGAGGAGGCCCUCAGGGCAAGAGGGCCCUGGUACCCUGGUACUGGGUGACCCUGCUGUGCCUGUGAUCCAUGCUCAGGUAGGUUUUGGAGAGAAAAGCUCAAUUCCGGACAGGAGGGCCCCAACUGUGAUGUGGCCGGCUCUCAGGGG